CUGAAAAUGAACUGAUGGUCGUAGUUGUGAUAGGAAAUUAUUGAAUUAGCGUUGCGGAUGAUAUUAGUUUGAUGAUUAUCAGCAUUAUUAGUAAAAGUAUUAUGGUUACAAAAUUAGAAUGUCUUGUUAAAUUGUGUUCCUGAAUGGUGAGAAAUUUUUAUGCAGAUUAGGAUAUUAUGUGGUGUCGAACAUAAUGAUUCGAAGAGGCUGAUUUUUGUAUCAAAAUCAAUAAAAGAUGCGGUAAGAUUUUGUAGUCCUAAAGAUUUUGAUUUUAAUCACUUUUUCUUUUCUUUUUUCCCCUACUUUUUUUAAUAGACUCUGAUUGCAAAACAGUGGCAUUUUGCAUAUAGGAAAACUGUUGGGUUCCAGAAUGUGGAGGAUUUGGGUGAGUUCAAUGACAUUGAGGCAUGGACGAAGCAACAAAAAGUUUCCAAACUUAGCUUAUAAAAGAAAUCUACCAAGUGAUCACAUUACGUUGUAUUAAGCUUCAUGUUGCAUUUCAAUUCCAAGUAAUCAGGCAAAAACAAGGGAUAUGGAAUCAAGGAAGCUUAGGAAAGAUAUAUGCAGGCACUGUGGGGAGAAGUUGUUGGGGUCUCGUCUUGAGGCACGAACAAUAUGCUGUCCAAUGUGUGGUGCUACUACAAUACUUCAAAUACCACGGCAGCUAGUCCCUCUUCCCGCACAUGGACGGGCGUUACCUACAAGGGACAUUGAUACUGAUGAAGAUUGUGAAAAAGGGUGUUAAUGUUUUUGUGGAUAAGGGUGUUGAUAACUUUGUAGUGUCAAAGUAAUGUACAUGUAUUUUUUAUGGUGUUUUCAGAUGUCAAACAACUGAAGUUUUUCGGCGAACACUCACUUUGAAUGCUGAUUUGUUUUUCCAUUGACUAAG
rnacentral:lncRNA from 1 species